rnacentral:lncRNA from 1 species
CCAGAUUUGGGGACGGUGGUUCUGCCUGAGCUUAAUAGAUUGAGAGCACUCGGAGAGGAGAAUCUGCAGUUUUGUGUCAUGGGGAGUAGCUCAACUGCAACGUCCUUUAGUGGGCAGUUUUCCAUGCCGGUAAGUUUGAUAGAUUUGCACUAGAGGCAAUAACAAAGCAUAAAAAAAAAAAUUGUAAAUACACGAGUAACACUGCAGAUAUAUCAAAAUAUACCAAAAUGUAGUUGAAGAGCUGACUUUCUACACGUGGGAGUCAGCGAGUGGUUUAACUUUUCAGACUUGAUGUCCACGCUAAGCAUCAUGACUGAAAUUUUAAAAUCCGAAGCCUAACUAGCUGCCACGGUUGAGAAGUGGGCUCGUCAACUAUACUUUUGAGUAAUUUUAUGGGAUAUCCAGUUUCUUUUAUGAUUUUAUGCAAAGAAAAAUUGAAAGAUCUGAUACUUCAGUAUGUCUUCAGGAAGGGAAAAUCCUCUUCUAUUGAAACAUAAGUUGCUAGUUAAACAUCAAAUAACACUCAUACCCCAAAAUAUACUGUUAAACUACAUCGACAAUACAUAAGUUUUGGACGGUUCCAUAGGAUUUCCCAAUUCUGGACACUGCUGUGGCAGCUCUUCAGAUAAAUAAUCAGCACUUACGCUUGAUAGCUUCAUACUAUCUAAAAUUAUGGCAAUAGUAGUAUGGAACAACAUAUAAGAGAUCACUAGUGUCGGCACUGAAUCUUCUUAAUCAAUCUCUUACAGUACAUUGUAUUAUUCUUUAUAGAGAGGUAUAAAGAAUGAGCGACAUAUCGUAUUUAGUAAUUACUGAACAGUGAAUAUAAGGCAAGCAAGAGUAAUAUGUGCUACAUUCUACUUUUCUAUUUCAGGAUUUUAUGACUGACGCUAAUCCGACACAAUCUGGAUAUGAAAGCUCCAGAAGCCGAUCAAGUGCAUACUAUUCCUGACGGAUUGGGAGCAAAACCAAUUCAUGGUAUACGUUUUAUAUCCCAACUGUACCAAACUUUGCUAAUGCUUUGAGGUUGACAUAAUUUGCGGAAAGUAUUUUUAUUAAUAGCGGCUAUUUCAGGCAGCUUUGUUACCACAUCGGAAAAGAGAAUUCUACCUUAAAUCUGCUUUUCACGGCCGAAUAGAUGUGCUUCUCAGCUGUUGGUUCUUUUCGUAGAGGCAAUAUUGGCUUAAGCAUGCGGAGGAGGAACAAAACUACCGAACUUCUGAAGCAAUAAAACGGCGAAGAAAGUUUAAUACGACUAUAUUUUUUAUUGAUUGGACUAAAGCUUACAUGAAAAGCAGUUGUAUAUCACAAUUACACCAAAAGCUAUAGGCAAAGAAGUUCUUUCUGUACAAACAAAUUCUAAUUUAAAUCGGUUGUAAACAAUGACAAUAUCUCUCUCUUUAAAUGAAUUAUGAGAUUGACAGGUUAUAUAAAAUAUAUGGUAAGAGAUGUAUAACUCACUAGAACACACUAAGAAGGCAAGUUGCAUCCCUACAAAUACAAAUAACUUGGCACAAUACUACAAGAGUUUGUACUAAAUUGCAUUUACAAGCAAUCCUCUCAUAAUUCUAUGGCAUAUUUCAUCAAACACCUUGUGUGCAAGAAUAGCUAAAGAAACAACAACACACUGGAUAAGACGACCUCAGCAGGGUACUAUUGGAUGCUUUUAAACUCAAAUAAUCAAUAAAUAUAUUAGUAUUUUGACAAUCAAAUAUGCUAUUUCAUAGUUGAAAGUAAACUGCAUCAUUUACUGCCACUUUACUUCCGAUAAUAGGGCAUCGAAAUUGGCGAUCGGUAUCGUUAAAUACGAUUUACAGUAUUUGAACUUUACUAGAUAAAUAAUAUUAUAAAAUCACCGAAUUCAAUUUUUAGAAAGUUCAAAAUAAUCUAAAUUUAUUUAACAGUACCUACCAUCAAUUCGAAUGCCUGAUUACCGAAAAUGAGGAGAAAGUAAAUAUAAUGUUUACUUUGGAAAAAAAAAAAAAGAAGAGUAUUCUAACUUUACACCUACAUAAAUGCACAUGGUAAAACCACAAUACACAUUUUAUUUUAUUUUAAUAUUAUUUGGUGCUAAAUAUUACCUUAGUCCCUUCCAUUGGCUGUGAAAAGACGAUCC